rnacentral:lncRNA from 1 species
AACCUACUCAGAAACAAGUAACAUGCUGAUGCAAUAAGCUUUGAUGCAGAUGGCAACAGUUUUCCUUUUCGUUUAUUCUACAUUUAUCUUCAUGACUGAAGACAGAAUUCCUCAAGAGCCUUCCCUUUAUCUUUGUGAAUGGAGAAGGAAACAGUUCAGAUUCACCUUCUGUGGAUUUCUUUUCUCCUGGAAAUAUCUUGCACCAACAGAAAGCAAGAUUUUACUCUGGUUCCGGAAGAUUGAAAAACAAGACAAAAGUGGUCAUCUAAGAUGUAAGCUCUCAGGAAUAAUAUAA